CUUAAUGACCACACGUGAGCCCCAGAUUUCUGCGGCUAAGCAAGACAAGAGAAACGCUCCAGGGCUGGGAGAUAAUUCAAAGUUUCCAGGGCUAGGAGAUAUUUUAAGAGCUGCCCUGAGCUGGAACCCUCCCUGCCCAUGUUGGAGGGAGGAGGAAUCCAGAGAACGCAGCCACAGGGAGGAGAAAUGCACACCCAGUCAUUAAAAGACUCAAACUUA